rnacentral:rRNA from 1 species
CCUACGGGGGGCAGCAGUGAGGAAUAUUGGUCAAUGGACGCGAGUCUGAACCAGCCAAGUCGCGUGAAGGAUGACUGCCCUAUGGGUUGUAAACUUCUUUUAUAAGGGAAUAAAACGAGGCACGUGUGCCUUUUUGCAUGUACUUUAUGAAUAAGGAUCGGCUAACUCCGUGCCAGCAGCAGCGGUAAUACGGAGGAUCCGAGCGUUAUCCGGAUUUAUUGGGUUUAAAGGGUGCGUAGAGGGGUUGUUAAGUCAGGUGUUAAAGUUUGCGGCUCAACCGUAAAAGUGCAAUUGAUACUGGGAGUCUUGAGUACAGUUGAGGUAGGCGGAAUUCGUGGUGUAGCGGUGAAAUGCUUAGAUAUCACGAAGAACUCCGAUUGCGAAGGCAGCUUACUAAACUGCCACUGACAUUGAGGCUCGAAAGUGUGGGUAUCAAACAGGAUUAGAUACCCGGGUAGUC